AAUGAGCUGCUUUGUUAAUGUUCUGAAGACUUUGGCUGAGUAGAAAGCCAUGUUUGGGGGCCCAAGUAACUGGUAGAACAGGGUGGGGUGGGAUUCACCUCAUUUUGUGAGAACACAAUGGGGCUCUGGUGAGCUGACAUGGUAACAGGAGCCUUGUGAUUAUCAGGAGAUGAUGUCAACAUAUGAAAGUCCAAAAACAGGGGUGGUGACUUUGUGUGCAUAAGAUACUUCAACAGUACCUCACCAGAGUGAACUGUAACUGUAGGGGAGAAAAAGGAGACAGUCCUGGAAUCUAAAGACUCUUGUUUCUGCAUACAUAUCAGAAACAGGGACAGAAGGAGGGAGCAGGAAAUGUAUUUAUGCUUUCCUUGGCUUUAACUGGCAACCAAGCUUCACAAAAUAUAGCAAGUGUUUUAAGAACUGGAGCACAACCUAUCUCCAUGAUGAAUGUUUGUGGAAGGAAAGAUGUGGCUACAUAGAAGACAACUAUAUCCAGGAGAAAAAGUACCUCGGGAGGCGAAUUGUUUGCUGACAUGUGCAACUAAAAUUUUUUGUGAGAGUAUUAGAACUCGAAUAAAGUUUGGUAAGUUAUUUAAAAAUAA